GUCAGUGAAGAACCUGAGUUGUUAAGUAAUGACUGAUUCUAUUAUACAUAUCUCUCUAAGGUUGAAAGUCAGUGAAGAACCUGAGUUUUCAAGUAAUGACUGAUUCUAUUAUACAUCUCUCUCCCUAAGGUUGAAAGUCAGGAUACAAGCAUGUUAUGUAAAACCAUGAUCCAGGGGUUACGAGAUGAAAAUGUGGAAGAAAGCAGUGGAUCAGAAAUUAUGUUGAUCAAGUUGAAGAUGAGUCAGAAGAAGAAAGUGGUGUUUCAAUGUAGCUUGAAUCUGAAUCAACGCCACUGAGACGGCAGUGAGGAAAUGAUAAAGAUUCUGGCUUCUAGUCAGCAGAAAGUGACGUUUCAUUGUAGGUUGAAUCUGAAUCAACACCACUGAGACGGCAGUGAGGAAAUGAUAAAGAUUCUGGCUUCUAGUCAGCAGAAAGUGAUGUUUCAUUGUAGGUUGAAUCUGAAUCAACGCCACUGAGACGGCAGUGAGGAAAUGAUAAAGAUUCUGGCUUCUAGUCAGCAGAAAGUGAUGUUUCAUUGUAGGUUGAAUCUGAAUCAACGCCACUGAGACGGCAGUGAGGAAAUGAUAAAGAUUCUGGCUUCUAGUCAGCAACAUCCGUAAUAAAGUGACGUAAAGAUCGGGCGUUGAUAAACUCUUUGUUAGCUAGUUCAAAAACAAGAAAUUGCUUUUAGGCGGUGGGUACUGCAGGUGGUACAAGUAAGGUGAAAACUGAUGUGGUAUAUAAUGUUAAAACAAGACAAAAAACAAGACUUUGUGUGUGAACGGAGAUAACAUCGCACGCGACCGUAAGUGGACCAGACUGUAAUAGGUUAUUGCGCAGAAAAUUGUGUCACUAGUAAAAAAUCUUCCUCACUUUUAGAUAUAAAAGGGCAGAUUGUCGUUGGGCUAAAUUCACAACUCAGGUUCAUUUCCAAGUUUUGUUAGCUGAAGAAGUUUAUCAUGAAGAUUGCGCUCCUCCUAUUGGCUCUCUCUGCCCUGGUGGCCGUCGCCUACUCUGGUUACUUAGGGUACGGUGGUUAUGGCUACCGAGGAUACCCCGUACGUUAUGGUGGUUACGGACAUGGACGUAGAUAUGGAUAUCCCAGAUACGGUUAUGGCUAUGGACGAGGAUAUGGAUAUGGCCGUCCCUACCGUGCUUACGGUGGCUAUGGUUACCCCUACCGAGGAUACCAUGGUUACGGUGGCUAUGGCUACCCCUACCGUGGAUACCAUGGUUAUGGCGGCUAUGGUUACCCCCACCGUGGAUACUGGUAAUCCCUGCAACGCAAUGUAAAAGCUUUCAUCUCACUGGCAGGAAACCUUCGAAAGAUUAUCUCGUACCUAGGACCAGUUGUUCCAUGCAGAUUUUAAAGUUCGACCAUUUGUAAAAUUUUGAUACCAAUAUUUGUUUGAAGUUCUUGCUACCUUUUAAAAUAAUAACA